rnacentral:lncRNA from 1 species
AAAAUUCUUAUUUUUAACAAAGAACACGAGUGCCUUUUUCAUCACAAUAAAGAAAACUACGUCUUUUCACAACCUUCGUCACUACCUUCUCCAAACCUUCAGAUACAACUCUUGCAGGCCUGCAUCUCACCAGUCAUGAUACAUGUCUCUUCCAGAAGAUAAUGCAGUGAAGGACAUGCCUUUUGAUUAUUAAAGCAAUAAUUUUUUCCACGCAUACAAAACAUAUAUAGUAAACAACAUCACAGGAUAAAUGGCAGUUGAACUGUUCGGUCCAAAGGAAUUUCACAGGAAACAGUUUGCUUCCUGCAAGAAACAUGAAAACAAAUCAUGUAAUCCAAAUUAUCAGUUUCCAAAGAGUACAUGUAAUUAAGAUGUACUAUGAGGGGACAGUGUAAACGAUAUCUGUACAUAGCUAGUCCUAUCAUUGUAGAGCGAGCAAGGAGAGAACAUAACCAAAAUGGAUCAUGCAUAGACAUAUAAGGUUUUAUCAAAAUAUUUCAGAGUUAGGUCCUGUCUUGUUGUAUGUACAUUUAUGGACGACAUCUUAUGUAUAUCAAGGCAAGUUGAUAUUGAAGCAAGGGCAUAUGUCUACUUUUUUACAUACUGAAUGAAUUAGGAAAUAAUCACCUAGAUCCAUCUGAGGGUUCACACACCUAUCGUUAUACUUAGUAUAACAGAGUUCACUAACAGCAAAGUAAAGUGAGAAAUAAAUCAAUUACUUAGUUCGCUAACAGAAAAAAAUAAAGUGAGACACAUCAGUUUAAAGAGACGAGGCAAAAUAAUAGACCAAACAAGUCACCUAUAGAUAUGGCGCCAUAGAUAAAACAGAACACCAUUUUUUUUUACAAAGCUCUUGCUUUCAAUAUUCAAAAUUCACAAAUUGUACUACUUAUAUCACAUUUUACAUAAAAUAACUAUUUAUAUGUGGCAUGGAAGUGAGUUGAAUCUUCUAUAUAGUACCCGUCUAUUCGCAAAUAGAUGACAUUCUGCACAUGACUAUAAUCUCUAGCAAGCAACUUUUCUUUUAAUUUUAAUGUUACAGAAAACUAAAAACAUUGAUACUGUGAAAAAGAAUUCAUGAAAUUCAGAAAUCUAUUUUAGCUACUCAAUCAAACUAUUUGCUUAUGUAUUACAAGUUGAAGUUAGAGAACCCUGGCUGCGUUCUUUGUUUGACGCCAUGAAUUUACGAAUGAAAGUAUAGUGCAUCAUAUUAUUAGAAAUUCCUUCCACAUAGUCAUGGAGAGCAGAUAACAUAGAUGACAAUCAGCAAAAUGUAGUUUAACAUUUCUGAAUACAGGAGCACCAAAAUUAGACCGUAUUGGGCAGUGGCGGAGCUUGAAGCCCAAUCCUGGGCGGGCUGGGAGGACCUAACAGGAGAAAAUAGGCAGUGGACUCAUGUUUUAAGGCCUCACAAGUAUAUGCGUACUGUAUUAAUAUCCAAAUGUUGGGCGGGCCGCUGCACGGGCUGGCCCCAACGUAGCUCCCCCACUGGUAUUGGGUACGUAAAUGUGUUUCAAAUUCAUUUAGGUGACAUUCAUUUAAUUUCAUUGGCAACCAUGCAUGCAUACAGAUCCAAAAAGGCCUACAUUUAUGCAGGAUGCCUAUAAUUUCUUCUAGCACAUACAAUUGGAAUAUACUAGAAAUUGUUCCUAGCUAAAGUAUAUUAUUUGUUGAGUGAAGCACACGCAUGCAAUAUAGCCAAUGACUGUUUCGAUAAUUGUCGUGCAUGCCAUUCAUAAGAUACUAACUUGUAAGUUUGCACAAAGAAAGAAACAGUUUCCAGUGUGCUGAAAAGCAAACCAGGUUUCUUCAGUUUGUUAAUGUGUUGUUUCUAGUUUACAUAAAGAUAUGCCGAAGCUUCAAAUUGACUAGACACAUUUUUUGUUAGGUCAUUAUCCAGGUAUUAAAUGUAAUUGUAUUUUAGAGCAUCCUUACUGGAGCAACAUUAAACCAAAAAUUUAUAAGUAGUACGUAUGUGCAUACAAUGAGUAUAUAUGAAUGGCAUGGAAGUGAAGCAAAAUCUUCUAUAUAGUACUCCCUCUGUUCGCGAAUAUAUGACACUCUAGACAUGACGAUAAUCUCUAAAAUGGAACUUUGACAAUUAAUUUAGUGUCACAGAAUAUUAUAAACCAUGAUAUGGUGAAAAAAAUGAUGAAAAUUUUAACUAUAUUUUUAGCCGAUUCUUCAAAUAUUUUCAUAUGUAUUGGGAGUCCAAGCUAGAGAACACUGGCUGCAUUCUUUCCUGGACAUCCAGCAUUUAUGAAUAAAAAUAUAUGAUAUAAAAUUCUUACACAUAGUCAUGGCGAGCAGAUAAAAAAGAUGGUAAUUUACAGAGUGUAGCUUGAGAUUUCUUAAUAUAAGAGCACCUAAAUUAGACUGUAUUGGAUACGUGAAUGUGUUGCCAUUUCAUGUAGUUGCACAUUUUCUUUUGGCAACAUGCACAACUACAGAUCCAGAAAAGCAACAUUUAUGCAUGACCACAUACAAUUGGUGGAUACUGGAAAUUUUUCAUAAUUAAAACAAUAUGCUUUGUUCAGUGAAGCAUGCAUGUAAUAUGGCCAAAAUUACAUUGUCAGCAAGUACUCCAUGCAUGGCAUUCAUCAGAUGAUGCGAACACAUAGGUUUUGACAAUAAAAUAAGGCACCGUUUCUUCUGGUACAGUAUGUUAAUUUGUUGUUGCCUCUGUUUACAUAAAAAUAUCUUGAAGAAACUUCAUAUUAGCUAACUACAUUCAUUUGCUAUAUAGGUAUCUUCUAGUGUAGUUUAGGAAAAAAAAGGCCAAUCUAAUCAUAUGGUAUAGGUCAGAGAUGUAAACCAAAUCAGUACGUACUAGCUUUAGUCCUGAUACUAAUAGAUAGUAAAACAGUAGGUCUCUUAACCUGCUAGCUAUGUUAGCCCCUAAUUAACUAAGUGUCCAAAAAGAAUGCAUGGGCUAGACAAAAAUACAUUUUUGUGGGUAUAUAUGUACAGUUUCAUUAAGACACAAAAACACACAAAUAAUACAUCUGUUGUAGAUCCAUAGGAUUGUCUUUUUGUGUAGCCCACAAGUGAAUGGUUUCUUGAUUAUUAUUAACAGAUUCGUAUCACACAAAUACAGAUCAACAAGUGUUUUUUAACUUUUCAAUGCGGUUUCAGAUUUUAUAAAAAAAAAACAGGCUCAAUGGAGCCGGGAUCUAUUUUGCAUUUUUGGGACUCCAAAAUCUAAUAAACUUUUUGCCACUAAUGUGAAAUCAAAUGUCAUUAUUGGCAUCAGUUGAGUGCCAAGGAACACUUUACCUUCUAUAUAGUAUGUCUAAUUGUCUAUACAUAUAAAUAAAUAAUAAGUAGUACUAUUGCUGCGUAGGUAUGCGUUUAAAAAAACAGGGCUUUGUAAUGUGUUUUUUAGAAUAGACACCAACUUUACAGUAUAGUAGGUAAUAACAAAUACAAAUCAAAUGCAGUUUCCGCUUGCCGAGUUUCCCUGAGAAAAUUACUACCACUGGUACAUGCCAUUUUAUUUUGGUGUAAAGGAUGCACACAUAAAUUUUCAUUACUAGUAUAGAUGCAGCGUACUCCACAGUAUACAAGGUAAUGCGAAAUAGUGAGGGCAGCUGUUGGAGUUUGACAUAUUGGUUGGCAUUUACUGUAGGAGAGUAUGUCAAAGUGUCAAAUCUCAAGAUUUGCUUUUCUGCGGUUCGGUUUACUCCUCACUCCUACAUGAAUAUGCAUGUACUACUUGAAUCCCGGAAAAUAACUAGCUAGCUAGGUCCCAGGGAUUCAACCGGAAACGGAAUACUCAUAUAUUUACAUUGGUUAUGCAAAAUAAAAUAAAAUGUGGAGUUAUCCUCACAUAGCUAGAUCCAGACUCAAAGUUGGCAGUCAGUUUAGGUAUCCUUGGCAGUUGGUUUGAUUUGUGUGGCACAAGGUAGUAAAGCAAAUGAAAGCCCUGGAGAGGAAGGAGCUAGGUAGCCAGUGUGGUGGAUGAGAUUGAGAUCUCGUGGAGAACAGACAUAUAUUAACGACGGCCGAAAUAGGUGGAAGCCGGAGCGGAAGAAACGGAAGGGGCAUGCAGUUUAACCUUACAUUUUGGCAAAGUUGGAGAUGGAUGGAUGGAUCCUUGAAUGACCUCCUCCCUCCUGGUCGGCCAUGGCUGCCUCCAGCUCCUGAACGCUUCUUCUCCAACUGAGCUCAAGGACAGAGCGGGAGCCGUCCGUCCAUGGCCGGAGCCGGAUCUAGACAGGGAAACAAUGGUGUUUGUGUGUGAGUGGGGUUCGGUUUCUGAGAGGAGAUCUGGCUGGCUGGGGGUCGGGAAAUCCGUCCACGGCCAUGCCGGCCAAUGGGGAAGGGGAGGACUGUGUCUUUUCUUUCUGUCUUUCUAUUUGCGC